rnacentral:tRNA from 1 species
AGCAGAGUGGUGCAGCGGAAGCAUGCUGGGUCCACAACCCAGAGGUUGAUGGAUCGAUACCAUCCUCUGCUA